CAAAUGACUCUCGGCAAUGGAUAUCUCGGCUCUUGCAUCGGAUGAAGAACGUAGUGAAAUGCGAUACUUGGUGUGAAUUGCAGAAUCUCGUGAACCAUUGAGUCUUUGAACGCAAGUUGUGCCCGAGGCCUUAUGGUCGAGGGCACGCCUGCUUGGGCGUCAUGG
rnacentral:rRNA from 1 species